CCUACGGGCGGCAGCAGUGGGGAAUAUUGGACAAUGGGCGAAAGCCUGAUCCAGCCAUGCCGCGUGUGUGAAGAAGGCCUUCGGGUUGUAAAGCACUUUCAGUGGGGAAGAAAGCCUUGGGGCUAAUACCCUCGAGGAAGGACAUCACCCACAGAAGAAGCACCGGCUAACUCCGUGCCAGAAGCCGCGGUAAUACGGAGGGUGCGAGCGUUAAUCGGAAUUACUGGGCGUAAAGCGCGCGUAGGCGGUCUGAUAAGCCGGUUGUGAAAGCCCCGGGCUCAACCUGGGAACGGCAUCCGGAACUGUCAGGCUAGAGUGCAGGAGAGGAAGGUAGAAUUCCCGGUGUAGCGGUGAAAUGCGUAGAGAUCGGGAGGAAUACCAGUGGCGAAGGCGGCCUUCUGGACUGACACUGACGCUGAGGUGCGAAAGCGUGGGUAGCAAACAGGAUUAGAUACCCGGUAGUC
rnacentral:rRNA from 1 species